CAACUUUCAACAACGGAUCUCUUGGCUCUCGCAUCGAUGAAGAACGCAGCGAAAUGCGAUACGUAAUGUGAAUUGCAGAAUUCAGUGAAUCAUCGAAUCUUUGAACGCACACUGCACUCUCUGGUAUUCCGGAGAGUAUGCUUGUUUGAGUAUCUGU
rnacentral:rRNA from 1 species